CGGGUUUCGAGACGAUGAAACCGUAUGUACAAUUGGUUCGUUGUCGACGAAACCUGCA
rnacentral:pre_miRNA from 1 species